GCUUAACGAUAGAAGGGGGCAAAUUAAAAACGAAAAUAGAAAUGCCAUAUCGCGUAUCGAUAUGCAAGACUUUUAAGUGCAAGUGCAGCCUUUAAAGUGCAGCUUUAUAAAAGACGCCAAGGUAUCACAACCAAGGGUUAACAACCUAUACUCAAGAAAAGGAGGCGCAAAAUGCUUUCUUGAAUCAUCCGGGUCCGCUUGCCACAAUAAACACGCCUUUCUGCGUGCGCAGCUCUCAUCCCACCAGGAGUCUGCGGGGGGCGCAAGUAAAACGCCAAACACUCACACAAGCCACUGGUCGUUAGUAGCGUCUCUUGGUAAAAACGCGGCGCGAAAUGGCGCUGUCACUUUUAAAAACGCUUACGAAUAAAAACAAUGUCAAAAAUCUAUCGCUAGUAAAUCUGGCUUAGGUACAUCCAAUGAUAGUGCACGUUGCAUGUAAAUAUUGGAUGACUUGUUAUAAUAAAGUGGAUGACUUGUAUAAUAAAGUGAGGGACUUGUUUUCAUGUAACACAGUAUAAACGAGAUUUUGCAAACCAUCAAAAACCAAUAAAUAACGGAGCUAUGUUAAGCU